UAAUAUGAGGUGAAGGCUGCAGUAAUUAUGCAUCAGAUGCAUUAAAAACACAUCAAUGAGCUGUGAAAGCUCAUAAUAACACACUAAUGCCUGUUUGUUUUCAUUCAGGGAAGAGAGAGAGAGGAGAGGAGGGGUUUGGAAAAGAUUCAUUCCACACACACAAUGGUGGACUUUUCCGACCUAAAACCAGGACGACAAGCAGGCCCCAAGGAGGAAAAUCCCAACCAGACAGAUGCUUCACACACACCAGAAGAGAAACAACCACUAUUAAUGAACCCUGUGCUCGUGCAAAAUGGCUGCCGGCUACCAGAAACUACAGAAGGGAUUCUGUACGGUUUCUAUCUCCGGUGCUUAGCGGUGGACAAUGAAAAAACGCCUGGCUGCAAAGCACAGUAAGCACAGUGGAUUAACUAUGUGUUUGGUGUCACCAUGUCUCCCACACCUCAGGCUUACACAAUGAGAUAGACACCCAGAGGACGAUAGGAGGGACAAUGGGAGAGA